UUCUGGGACGAUUGACAGAUUAGAGCGCUUUCUUGAUUCGGUGGAUGGUGGUGCAUGUCCGUCCUUAGUUCGUGGAGUGAUUUGUCCGGUUAAUUCCGAUAACGAACGAGACUCUUGCCUAUUAAAUAGGUGCGUGGUUUUGUGCACCUUGCACCCUUCUUAGGGUGACAAGCGGCUCCUAGCCACGCGAAACAGAGUAAUAACAGGUCUGUGAUGCCCUUAGAU
rnacentral:rRNA from 1 species